GAACAAACCAGUGGCGUCAGCCCGGAGUCUGGCAUCGUGUCCCCAUCUCGCUUCUCUUCCCUUCUCUUCUUCCCCACCGCGCCCAAACCGACCUAAAAUGAAAAAAUAAAAAGGAAAGCGACAGGGUUACGGAGAGAAGAAGGCCCUCUCCCUCGUUUGUGAAGGAGAGGAAGAGCUAGGGUUAGGGAUUCCCCACCGCCAUCUCUGCCCUCGCUUCGCGGCUGAUGGAGUCGUGGAGCUUCCCCGACGGCAACUUCGCCAAUCUGGUGGAAAGCCGGCGCAUCGAUUCCCUCCCGGAUGUGAAUCGCAGGUUACAACUUCAUUCAUCUUUGAUACAAAGGCUUGCCCUGGAGGAAGUUAUGGAGGGCCAUCAAGGUUGUGUUAAUGCAAUUGCUUGGAACUCAAAAGGCUCUCUUCUGAUAUCUGGAUCAGAUGAUACAAAAAUUAAUAUAUGGAGUUACAACAAUCGGAGGCUUUUGCAUAGUGUUGAGACUGGGCAUUCUGCCAACAUAUUUUGCACAAAAUUUGUUCCUGAGACAUCUGAUGAACUUGUUGUGUCAGGGGCUGGAGAUACAGAGGUUCGCCUUUUCAAUAUAUCUCGUUUAAAUGGGAAAAGAUCUGAAGAAAUUGCUCUAGAACCUGCAGCAUUGUACCGGUGUCACUCAAGGAGGGUCAAGAAGCUAGCUGUUGAAAUUGGGAAUCCUAAUGUAGUAUGGAGUGCGAGUGAGGAUGGAACUGUGAGACAGCAUGACUUUCGCGAAAGUGGCUCAUGCCCGCCUGCUGGAUCUUCAAAUCAGCAAUGCCGUAAUGUACUACUUGAUCUUAGGUGCGGCGCAAAGAAAUCACUGGCUGAUUCUCCUAAGCAAUGUUUGGCAUUGAAGUCUUGUGACAUCAGUUCCACUCGUCCCCAUCAACUCCUUGUUGGUGGCAGUGAUGCGUUUGCUCGGUUGUAUGAUAGAAGAAUGCUUCCACCCUUGAGCUCUUGCCAGAUGAAAAUGAAGCCACCUCCUUGUGUUAAUUAUUUCUGCCCAAUGCAUCUUUCUGAGCGUAGAAAGUCAACCUUGCAUUUGACACAUGUAACAUUCAGCCCAAACGGUGAAGAGGUGCUCUUGAGUUAUAGUGGCGAACAUGUUUACUUAAUGGAUGUUAACUAUGAUGGUCAGAGCGUUAUGAGCUACACUGCUGAUGAUGUUCCAAAGCAAUUGUGUAUAGCUCCUUUAUUUAAAGAAACAAAAGUACCUUCACCAUCAGCAGUUUCCUCAGACAACUUGCCUGAAAGAAAAUAUCAUUUGCGCAGGCUUGGUUUGUGCAAGAAAUUGGUUCAAUAUGCGGCAAAAGCAUUGGAUGAAGGCUCAGACUUAUUUUAUGGAAUAGAAGCGUGUAAUGAAGUACUGGAUGGAAAAGGUCCUGAGAUUGGCCUUGCCCUGCGACAUGAGUGCCUGUGUAUUCGAGCAGCAUUGCUUCUUAAGAGGAAGUGGAAAAAUGAUGUUCAUAUGGCUAUAAGGGAUUGCAACAAAGCUCAACUUAUAGAUGCUUCAUCAUUUAAGGCGUACUAUUACAUGUCAGAAGCACUUCUUCAGUUAGGGAAAAAUAAAGAAGCUCUGGAGUAUGCAGAGGCAGCUCAUAAUUUGGCUCCAUCAAAUUCUGAUGCUGCUGAAAUGGUAAAGAGAAUAAAAGAUCGUCUUGCUGCAGCUGAAGCUGAGAAAAGCAAAAAGGAUAAUGAAGACACAGGUAAGAGUGAAGUGCGACAUGGAAGGUUAAGAUCAUUGAGUGAUGUACUCUUCCGGUCAGAGUUAAGUAGCCCAUCUCAAGAGGAUUGGCACGAAAGAGAAGAUUCUGAUUAUGAGGAAGAAAUGGAAUUGGACUUUGAAACAUCAAUAUCAGGAGAUGAGGGUCGUGAUAAUGAGCCAAGCAUUCUUCGUGGAAGUUUAAAUUUGAGGUUUCAUCGAAGAGAUGACUUAGCUAGAGAAAACUGCAGUACAGAUGGUUCACAUGGAUCUCCUUCAUCUUCCUCUCAACAUGAAAAUUCUUCUUAUCAGCCUGAGGUUGUGAUUGAUAUGAAACAAAGAUUUGUUGGCCAUUGCAAUGUGGGGACAGAUAUAAAACAAGCUAGCUUUCUUGGCCAACAAGGAGAGUAUGUUGCUAGUGGAAGCGAUGAUGGUAGGUGGUUUAUCUGGGAGAAGAGAACGGGAAGGCUUAUUAAAAUGCUUGCUGGUGAUGAAGCUGGUAAUAACUUCCUUUCUGUUUUAGUUGUAUUUUUUGAAAAAAAAUUCCUUUUAUCUUUUAUGACUUGUUUUGCAUCUUUUCUAGUGGUGAACUGUGUACAGUGCCAUCCAUUUGAUUGCGCUAUUGCAACUAGUGGAAUUGAUGACACAAUUAAGAUGUGGACACCGCAUGCAGAAGUUCCAUCAAUGGUUGCAGGAGGAACAGCAGGACCAGAGACUGCUGAUGUGUUGACUGCUAUAGAAAACAAUCAGCGGAAAUUGUGCCGCAACCGUGAAGCUAUGCUAAUUGACAUGGAACUUUUGGUCCACAUCAGACCAGCUUGCUUGAUAUUACAAUUCCGGGCUGCUACCAGCACAUCAAAGGGAUCUGUAUUGAUUUGAACCAUAUUAGGAAGCUUCAUGCUAUAUCUUCUUGUGGUGUCACUAGAAGUAUACAAGGUGACAAGGGCCAAUAAGAUGGUCAAACCAACCCAAAGUUCACUAUUUCCUUAGUGCCUUUCGAAUUCCUGGAGCGAUUUAGGAUGCAUGAGUUUGCUGAAGGAACUUUGCAUCCUUUUGAGUGUGCCCAGAGCUGAUAUGUUUUGUCUGCUCAAUGUGCAGGACUUGAACCAAGUUUUGACUGUUGAUAAUUGAAGAUGUUGGGGAAAGGAAAAAAGAACGGGAACAAUCUGGUAUUUGAGAUUGCUGCAGUAGGAGCAAAGCAUUCACUCAAUAUGGUUUUCGCGUUCUGACAAUAUGCAUAUUAUACAAUAAGUGCUAAUUGCAUGAUUAUCUUACCAGAAAAUCCCAAGGCUUGUAAUUUGGAGGAGUUCGUGUACGGCAAUUGUUGCGAGUUCUUAUGUUGUUUAUAAACAUCUUCAUGGUGAUUUUGUUGGUAUAUUUUUCCACCUGUUGGUAUCUUUUGUAAAGUACAUGGAAAUUUUUGUUUGCGGACCUGUGUACAGAAUUGUAAAAGAAUAGUAUAUAAUAUUUGCUAAAUUCAAUUAAGACAAUGCGAUGGUGCAUGAAGCAUGUCGUAUGAUUGUGCUGUACAAAUGAAUCAAUUAAAUUAAAAUAGUUAAAGAACGAUGGGUGAAAGCCCAUUUUUUGAUGAA